rnacentral:rRNA from 1 species
AGAGGAAGUAAAAGUCGUAACAAGGUUUCCGUAGGUGAACCUGCGGAAGGAUCAUUAAUGAAAGUUGGGGAGCUGUCGCUGUCNAAUGUGGCAUGCACGCUCCCCGUACACUUUUCCAACUACACCUGUGCAUCUUUGUAGGAAAUGGUGGGGGAGGUCCGCCUCCUCUGCUUUCCUAUUUUCCACACACACAUAAACAUGAAUGUUUCUGAGUGUUGAACUAUUAANUUAUUACAACUUUCAACAACGGAUCUCUUGGUUCUCGCAUCGAUGAAGAACGCAGCGAAAUGCGAUAAGUAAUGUGAAUUGCAGAAUUCAGUGAAUCAUCGAAUCUUUGAACGCACCUUGCGCUCCUCGGUAAUCCGGGGAGCAUGCCUGUUUGAGUGUCAUGAAAUUCUCAACUCGGAUGGUUUUUUGUAUUCCAUCGUGAGCUUGGACUUUGGGGGUCUGCCGGUGUCUGUCGGCUCCUCUCUAAAUGUAUUGGCCGGAUUUGUCUGGUGGCUCGGUGUGAUAAUUAUCUAUGCCUUGCUACCACUUCCAUCUGUCCGGUGACUAGACUCAAUUAUUUCAUUGAUUUUGACCUCAAAUCAGGUAGGACUACCCGCUGAACUUAAGCAUAUCAAUAAGCGGAGGAAAAGAAACUAACAAGGAUUCCCCUAGUAACUGCGAGUGAAGCGGGAAGAGCUCAAAUUUAAAAUCUGGCGGUCAUUGGGCCGUCCGAGUUGUAUUCUGGAGAAGCGCUUUCCGCGCUGG